AACGAACGCUGGCGGCAUGCCUAACACAUGCAAGUCGAACGAGACCUUCGGGUCUAGUGGCGCACGGGUGCGUAACGCGUGGGAACCUGCCUUUGGGUUCGGAAUAACUCAGAGAAAUUUGAGCUAAUACCGGAUGAUGUCUUCGGACCAAAGAUUUAUCGCCUUUAGAUGGGCCCGCGUUGGAUUCGCUAGUUGGUGGUGUAAAGGCCUACCAAGGCGACGAUCCAUAGCUGGUCUGAGAGGAUGAUCAGCCACACUGGGACUGAGACACGGCCCAGAAUCCUACGGGAGGGAGCAGUGGGGAAUAUUGGACAAUGGGCGCAAGCCUGAUCCAGCAAUGCGGCGUGAGUGAUGAAGGCCUUAGGGUUGUAAAGCUCUUUUACCCGAGAUGAUAAUGACAGUAUCGGGAGAAUAAGCUCCGGCUAACUCCGUG
rnacentral:rRNA from 1 species